AUACGUAGGUGGCAAGCGUUAUCCGGAAUUAUUGGGCGUAAAGAGUGAGCAGGCGGUUAAUUAAGUCUGAGGUUAAAGCGUGGGGCUCAACCCCAUAAAGCCUUGGAAACUGAUUGACUCGAGUACGGGAGAAGUGAAGGGAACUCCAUGUGUAGCGGUGAAAUGCGGAGGGAUAUGGAAGUACACCAGUGGCGAAGGCGCGUCACUAACCCAAAACUGACGCUCAGUAACGAAAGCGUGGGUAGCAGAUAAGAUUAGAUACCCUAGUAGUCCACGCGGUAUUCGAUGACAGAUAAAUAAUGCCGCCAGGGAGUGUUGAAGGUAACACAAUAAGUGUUACCGCUGGGGACCUACGUAGUAAGGCGGAUACUGAAACGAAUUGACGUGU
rnacentral:rRNA from 1 species